rnacentral:rRNA from 1 species
UAAACAUUGACAGUUAGUAACACCCACUGUCCGCCUGGGAACUACGAGCACCAGCUUAAAACCCAAAGGACUUGGCGGUGCUUUAGACCCACCUAGAGGAGCCUGUUCUAGAACCGAUAAUCCCCGUUAAACCUCACCCUUCCUUGCCAUUUCCGCCUAUAUACCACCGUCGUCAGCUUACCCUGUGAAGGCCCCAUAGUAAGCACAAUCGGCAAUGCCCAAAACGUCAGGUCGAGGUGUAGCGAAUGGAAGGGGAAGAAAUGGGCUACAUUUACUGACUCAGUAAAUACGGAUGAUUACCCUGCAACGAGUAUCUGAAGGAGGAUUUAGCAGUAAGCAAAAAAUAGAGUGUUUUGCUGAAGUUGGC